AACUACAAUGAGGUAUCACCUCACCCCAGUAAGGAUGGCUGCCAUCCAAAAGACAAACAACAACAAAUGUUGGCGAGGCUAUGGAGAAAGGGGAACCCUCCUACACUGCUGGUGGGAAUGUAAGUUAGUUCAACCAUUGUGGAAAGCAGUAUGAAGGUUCAUCAAAAUGCUCAAAACAGACUUACCAUUUGACCCAGGAACUCUACUCCUAGGAAUUUACCCUAAGAACGCAGCAAUCAAGUUUGAGAAAGACAGAUGCACCCCUAUGUUUAUCGCAGCACUAUUUACAACAGCCAAGAAUUGGAAGCAACCUAAAUGUCCAUCGGUAGAUGAAUGGAUAAAGAAGAUGUGGUAUAUAUACACAAUGGAAUACUACUCAGGCAUAAGAAGAGGGCAAAUCCUAUCAUUUGCAGCAACAUGGAUGGAGCUGGAGGGUAUUAUACUCAGUGAAAUAAGCCAAGUGGAGAAAGAGAAAUACUAAAUGAUUUCACUCAUCUGUGGAGUAUAAGAACAAAGGAAAAACUGAAGGAACAAAACAGCAGCGGAAUCACAGAACCCAAGAAUGGACUAACAGAGGAUCAAAGCCUAAUUUGGCUACCCAGAAAAUGAACUAAGAUACCAUAUGAAGAAGAACUUCCAACAUCAGCACUCUCUGGAAGACUCAGACCAGAAGAAGAUCAUCGAAAAACCUCAACAAAGAUCCAGACGCUGCUACAGCUGUAGCUGCAUUCAUCCCACCAGUUCCUGGACUUGCCAUGGGAAUGAAGAAGGAGAUAUCUAAGCUUGCCUGUGAAUACAGUAAAACAGCAAAUUUGACUGGAUCUAUACUGUUGGAACUCAACCAAGAAUUAGGAGAAGUGCAAGUUGUAGCACUCCAAAAUCUUACAACUACAGACUAUCUACUGUUAAAAGAAUGUAUGGGAUGUGAACAGUUCCCAGGAAUGGGUUGUUUUAAUUUGUCUGAUUUCUCUCAGACUGUUCAAGUACAGUUGGACAAUAUCCAUCAUAUCAUAGAUUAAUUUUCACAAAUGCCUAGGGUGCCUAACUCAUUCUCUUGGUUUCACUGGAGAUGGCUGGUAAUUAUAGAUCUGCUUUGGUUAUGUAACUAUACUCCUAUUAUGUUAAUGUGUGUGCGCAAUUUAAUUAGUAGUUUAAAACCUAUACAUGCUCAAGUUACUCUACAAGAAGAUAUGUCAAAGAAAUAAUCAAUCUUCCCAUGUUUUCUUCCAUCUGCUACUUCUAUAGCUUUUCUUCCUCCUUCCUAAUUACAACCCUUAAAUAGAAUUUGUGCCUCAUAUCGAAUUUACCGAGUAUCAUAAUUCCUCCAAGUGGUAAAAAUACCUCAAGACAAAUGCUGGGCAUAGAAGCCACAGGGCAUAAAUCUGCAAAGAAGUAAAAAGCUAACCUUUUCAAACAAUAUGGUUUCUCACUUACCAACUUUACAUUUCCCUGUAUGGCCCCGGAAGAUGACUGGUUAGACAGAGACGGGUAAGAUUCCUCAAGGGAGGAACCUAAGACAGGCACAGUUGCAGGGGGGCCAUCAGGUGAGAAAUUGGGGAUCAACAGAGGUGAGGCUUAGAACCUCACCCCCCCUGUUUUGAGAGAAAUCUUUGGCAUCCAUGGAUGUUUUAUUGCCCUUGUCUAGCUUGGACUAACACAUAGUCUACAGGCACACACCUGAUCAUCUACAUUUGCUCUCUUAUAACACUAAACUAUGUUUUCUACCUUUAUCUUGCAUCUACCUACCACUUCAGCAUUUUAUUAAAAAUAAUAAUAAUAAUAAUAAUAAUAAUAAAGGGAGAAAUGUGGGAUCCACAUAUAAAUCAAGUAUAAAAAUCAAACGAAUAUUCAUAUUUGACCUGAUUGUUUAUAGUUCAUAAUGCGUGAUCAAAACCGAAAGUUUCUGUGAUGACUGCCCUUGUACUGUUCACCAUGUAAGAAUUUAUUCACUAUGUAAGAAUUUGUUCACCAUGUAAGAA